rnacentral:rRNA from 1 species
UAAGACAGAGGUGGCAAGCGUUGUUCGGAAUUACUGGGCUUAAAGGGCGCGUAGGUGGUGAUAUAAGUCCGAGGUGGAAGGCUGAGGCUUAACCUCAGAAUUGCCUUGGAUACUGUAUGACUUGAGUCAGCAAGGGGAUGGCGGAAUUCCAGGUGUAGCGGUGAAAUGCGUAGAUAUCUGGAGGAAGGCCGGUGGCGAAGGCGGCCAUCUGGUGCUGAACUGACACUGAGGCGCGAAAGCGUGGGGAGCAAACAGGAUUAGAUACCCUGGUAGUCCACGCCCUAAACGGUGAGUACUAGGUGUAGGGCUCGUAAGGGUUCUGUGCCGAAGGGAAACCAUUAAGUACUCCGCCUGGGAAGUACGGCCGCAAGGUUGAAACUUAAAGGAAUUGACGG